UGCGGCCGGUACUGACCCUGCA
rnacentral:miRNA from 1 species